GCAGUGGUGAUUCAGUGGUAGAAUUUUCACCUUCCAUGGGGGAGACCUGGGUUCAGUUCCCAGCCAGUGUA
rnacentral:tRNA from 1 species